rnacentral:rRNA from 1 species
UACGUAGGGAGCAAGCGUUGUCCGGAAUCAAUGGGCGUAAAGCGCGCGCAGGUGGUUCCUUAAGUCUGAUGUGAAAGCCCACGGCUCAACCGUGGAGGGUCAUUGGAAACUGGGGAACUUGAGUGCAGAAGAGGAAAGUGGAAUUCCAAGUGUAGCGGUGAAAUGCGUAGAGAUUUGGAGGAACACCAGUGGCGAAGGCGACUUUCUGGUCUGUAACUGACACUGAGGCGCGAAAGCGUGGGGAGCAAACAGG